UAAAAUUAUGAAGCAUUUCUUCCUGGAAGGGUUCCAUUGUUGGAAUUUAUAUCCCAGUAUCCAUCAGUGAGAAAAGGACUUAAUGUGAUGCCAGUGGCUCAGCCUUUGGAACGGUGAACAUAUGCUACAUCUCACAAGCAGAUAAGGAUGAGAAGCUCAGCAGUCUGGCAGGAUAUAGAGAUGUCUGAUGCUUUCCAAGCAGAACAAAUACCACAAUGCAGAGGUCAUGUUCUACUCAGACCCCUGUUGCCUCCUCUGAUUACUAGAUGUUCAAUUCGAAUGUGCAUUCCAUCUAGUUUAAGAUUACACAUUUCUUCUGACAGAACUCUGAGGUUGAACGUCAGAUAUUAGGUGACGAGUCACCUCUUAUUUGAAAUGCAGGGAUCAAGGAUCUGUCUGACUAGAUGCAGAGUGCACAUUUUUAUCCUUCUCUUUCCACCCGAUAACCAUCCACUGAAUGAAACUCUUCAAGUCAUUUGCACUAUGACUUACUAAGUACUUACAUAGAAGAGAAAACUGCAAAGCCCUUGUCAAACUUAGAA